ensembl:lncRNA
AAAAAAAUGAACAUAAUACUAAUUGUAUGCUCUAGUGUGUCAAUACAGGUGGGCGUCUCUCAACUUUGGAACCUUGAGUUCAGCAGCAGAAGAGCAGAUUAAUAGAAUUGGGAGAAAAUAAGCCAGUCUUUGGCUCGAAAUUGUGCGGCUUGAUCUCUCACUUUGUCCCUGAAGCGGAGAAGAAGUUCAAAGGACAGUCAAUCGCCUGAUGAAGACCGACAGAACAUCGUGGACUUGAAUACAGCAGGCAAACGGCAGUGCCACUGAUCCAGUAACACUGAUGACGACUGACGACCAGCAGCAGCAUGUAAGAGUACUGCAACAUGUACUGUGAAAAUACAGGCUGGGCAGUUGAACAGUGGGAUAAAGAAUUGUGGAAGAGCACUGGACAUUGAGUGAUAUUUUGCCAUGCUGGGACUUAACUUAAAAGAAAGACUGUAAAGAAACAGAGAAGAAGACAACAGCUGAGUUGAGACUGUGUUUGCUGGAGCUUUGAAGCCCGAAUAGGACGCUGUGAAUGAAAAAGGACCAGUGAGAGGUGAAGCUGGACGAGUUUGACUGCGAGAAUAUAGGAUAUAAUUGGAUUGAAAAUUGAAGCCUGAACUCAUGAAUUGUUUAGGGAUGUCCACCACAGCAUAACAAAGAGGCCUGGAAGAGAGUGAACUGACGGCGCGGACAAAUUACCAAGUAAGGAUUGCAGCGAGUCAAUCCAGUCAAAAGUAUAGAGAACUAUUUUCCUAAAAAGGAAAACGAAAUAAAACAAAUGAUUGAGCUCAUUUUGCUGAUGUGGAGCAUCUGAUGACGUGCGCGGAAGGCUGCAGAUCAGCAAAAUGAGCUCAAUCCUUUAUUUUAUUUCGUUUUCCUUUUUAGGAAAAUAGUUCUCUAUACUUUUGACUGGAUUGAAUCGAUCAAUCCAUUUUUAGACAGAGACUUGCCGCCAAUCAGUCUCUGA